rfam:Macleaya cordata isolate BLH2017 scaffold7679, whole genome shotgun sequence.
AGGUGUGAUCAUACUAGCACUAAUGCACCGGAUCCCAUCAGAACUCCGCAGUGAAGCGUGCUUGGGCGAGAGUAGUACAAGGGUGGGUGACCUCCUGGGAAGUCCUCGUGUUGCACCCC